GUGGGGAAUAUUGGACAAUGGGCGAAAGCCUGAUCCAACCAUGCCGCGUGUGUGAAGAAGGUCUUCGGAUUGUAAAGCACUUUAAGUUGGGAGGAAGGGCAGUAAGUUAAUACCUUGCUGUUUUGACGUUACCGACAGAAUAAGCACCGGCUAACUUCGUGCCAGCAGUCGCGGUAAUACGAAGGGUGCAAGCGUUAAUCGGAAUUACUGGGCGUAAAGCGCGCGUAGGUGGUUUUGUAAGUUGGAGGUGAAAUCCCCGGGCUCAACCUGGGAACUGCCUCCAAAACUGCAUGACUAGAGUACGGUAGAGGGUAGUGGAAUUUCCUGUGUAGCGGUGAAAUGCGUAGAUAUAGGAAGGAACACCAGUGGCGAAGGCGACUACCUGGACUGAUACUGACACUGAGGUGCGAAAGCGUGGGGAGCAAACAGGAUUAGAUACCCCAGUAGUCC
rnacentral:rRNA from 1 species